rnacentral:sRNA from 1 species
AUGUUAUAAUACAAUAUGAGUUCAUAUAUCUUCUUAUUAUAUAAAAUAUGGUUUUUAAAAUACUAACUCGUGUGAUUGUGACACGCGUCAAGUCUAUCGUUCAGAUGUUGACAUGUGUCAACAAAUAUUUACUUUUCUCUUAAAUAAAUAGGAAAACUAAAAAAAAAAGAAACAUAGAUAUCUAAAAUAUUUAACUUUAAUUUUUUAACUAAAAACGAAAACUAAAAAUAAGAUGAAAUGUAUAGAAUAAAACUAUAUUUGUAUUAGAAAAUCAACUUGUAU